rnacentral:snRNA from 1 species
GUGAUCUCUUCAGCAGCACACAUACUAAAAUUGGAAGAGUACAGAGGAGAUUAGCAUGGCCCCUGCACAAGGAUGACAUGCAAAUUCAUGAAGCAUUCCGUAUUUUU